GCUAACCUCGCCGUCCGCUAGUAAUAUCGGCGGACAUGAUAAAAAACCUUUUGGUCUAUAAUACCCCAAUCAGGCCAAAGCAUAUUUAACCUCUUCGCAAUGGCAGAUCGACAAAGUUGAAUUGGAGCAAAUACCCUGUUAACAGACCUCUCAAAGCUAAAGCUGCUGCAAUUUCUUUCUCAUGACUGCAGAUCGGUAAGUUUUUUUUAUUUAAUUUGUAAGUUUUGAAUUUAUCUUACCCACUAGAUUAGUUUUCUCAUAUAUGGGUAUUACUAUUCUGAUUGGUAUAUGACAAAAUUAAUCCACUAGUUUCUGUUUUUUUUUUUGGGUUUUUGUUUGAUUUUUGUGUUGUAUUGUAGUUUACUUUAUCUCUCUACUUUUCUGUUGCUUUGUGUGAAAUUUAUGGAGUUGGAUAGUUUUGUUUAACAAGAAACAAAACUGAACUUUCUGUAUGUAUAUGGUUUAACUGAUUUAGUAUAAGCUCUUCUCCUAGGACUGUUAUGAGUAUGAUUAUUAGAUGUUAAGUAUUCAAAGUUAUUGUCUGUAUAAAACGUAUCAUUUUCUGGUGGAGUAAAGCAAAAUAAAGAUCCAUUUUGUCUCUCAGUCUCUGUUUCAAAUCCUUCAAUAGUUAAAGUUUCUUCCUCUGCUUGCUCUCUCACUGUCUCUCUGUCCUUUUAUAUCCGGCUUUGUAUAUUUUGUUUUUGAUACCUUAUUUGCUUCUAAUUACAUAGGCAAGGAUCACUUAUAAAAUGGUAGUAGUCAUUGUUUGUGGAGUUGCAAUUAAUACGGAAUGAUGGAAUUUAAUCUAUGGUGCUCUUCUUAUCAAUUAUACUGUCUUAAUUUAAGGUACAAUGUCCGAAUUUAUGAUUGUUGUGCAUCUAUUAUCUCAUUGAUUUUGACUUCUUAAUUUCGAAAUAUGUUAUAGUGAUAUGUUUCAGCGUCAUUAGCUUUUGUUGAUGGUUAAAUUGUUUGUUUUCUUUUUUAAGGUUCCUGAAGGGAGCUUCAAGCAUUGAUUAACACUUUUACUCAACGCCCUUUGAGAAAAAACAUACCUGUAUUUGCCCCCGCUGACUUGACCUUUUCUUGAUAUUUGAUUGUUCUACUUGAUGGAUGUGUCAUUAAAUUAUCUUUUAUAAUAUCUAUCGCAUGCAUUACUAUUCGUUUUGUGAUAGACUUUUUCUUCCGGUCCAAAUGAUUACUGAAAAAAACAGUGGUUUACUAUACGAAUGUUUGAUAUGUAUUACUAUUUGUUGGAAAAAAACAGUGGAUUACUAUAACAAAUGUUUGAUAUGAAUGCAACUUAUUAUGUAGAUCUUAUUCCACAGAAUUGCUAUGAUAUUUAAGCAUUUUUCAUUCGAGUCUGUGCAGUCUGUACCACUAUUUUUUGGUAUAGGUAUUCAAAUCACGCCCAAAACAUUAUAUUAUGAAAAAAUAUCAAUUCCAUAAAAUAUUAAAUAUUUUUUUUUAGUUGUUU
rnacentral:lncRNA from 1 species